rnacentral:rRNA from 1 species
AAAUUGAAGAGUUUGAUCAUGGCUCAGAUUGAACGCUGGCGGCAGGCCUAACACAUGCAAGUCGAACGGUAACAGGAAGCAGCUUGCUGCUUUGCUGACGAGUGGCGGACGGGUGAGUAAUGUCUGGGAAACUGCCUGAUGGAGGGGGAUAACUACUGGAAACGGUAGCUAAUACCGCAUAACGUCGCAAGACCAAAGAGGGGGACCUUAGGGCCUCUUGCCAUCGGAUGUGCCCAGAUGGGAUUAGCUAGUAGGUGGGGUAACGGCUCACCUAGGCGACGAUCCCUAGCUGGUCUGAGAGGAUGACCAGCCACACUGGAACUGAGACACGGUCCAGACUCCUACGGGAGGCAGCAGUGGGGAAUAUUGCACAAUGGGCGCAAGCCUGAUGCAGCCAUGCCGCGUGUAUGAAGAAGGCCUUCGGGUUGUAAAGUACUUUCAGCGGGGAGGAAGGGAGUAAAGUUAAUACCUUUGCUCAUUGACGUUACCC